rnacentral:rRNA from 1 species
UACUCCUACGGGAGGCAGCAGUGGGGAAUUUUGCGCAAUGGGCGAAAGCCUGACGCAGUAACGCCACGUGGAGGAUGAAGGCCUUCGGGUCGUAAACUCCUGUCAGGGGGAACGACGGGUCUAGGGGAAACACUCCUGGAUUCCAGACGGUACCUCCAAAGGAAGCCCCGGCUAACUCCGUG